rnacentral:rRNA from 1 species
GACGAACGCUGGCGGCGUGCUUAACACAUGCAAGUCGAACGGUAAGGCCCCUUCGGGGGUACACGAGUGGCGAACGGGUGAGUAACACGUGAGCAACCUGCCCUUGACUCUGGAAUAACAGUUGGAAACAGCUGCUAAUACUGGAUAUUCAUCGUCUCCUUCCUGGGGGGUGGUGGAAAGCUCCGGCGGUCAGGGAUGGGCUCGCGGCCUAUCAGCUUGUUGGUGAGGUAAUGGCUCACCAAGGCUUCGGCGGGUAGCCGGCCUGAGAGGGCGACCGGCCACACUGGGACUGAGAUACGGCCCAGACUCCUACGGGAGGCAGCAGUGGGGAAUAUUGCACAAUGGGCGCAAGCCUGAUGCAGCAACGCCGCGUGCGGGAUGACGGCCUUCGGGUUGUAAACCGCUUUCAGUAGGGACGAAGGGUGACUGACGGUACCUACAGAAGAAGGACCGGCUAACUACGUG